rnacentral:rRNA from 1 species
UACGUAGGGUGCGAGCGUUGUCCGGAAUUAUUGGGCGUAAAGAGCUCGUAGGCGGUUUGUCGCGUCGGCCGUGAAAACUUGGGGCUUAACCCCAAGCCUGCGGUCGAUACGGGCAGACUUGAGUUCGGCAGGGGAGACUGGAAUUCCGGGUGUAGCGGUGGAAUGCGUAGAGAUCCGGAGGAAGACCGGUGGCGAAGGCGGCCUGCUGGGCAGUUACUGACACUGAGGCGCGACAGCGUGGGGAGCAAACAGG